GCUUGUCUCAAAGAUUAAGCCAUGCAUGUCUAAGUAUAAAUGUUAUACAGUGAAACUGCGAAUGGCUCAUUAAAACAGUUAUAGUUUAUUUGAUAAUCGAAUUUACAUGGAUAACCGUGGUAAUUCUAGAGCUAAUACAUGCGUAAAAUCCCGACUCUCGCGGGGAGGGAUGUAUUUAUUAGAUAAAAAACCAAUGCGGGGCAACCCGGUUUUGUGGUGAAUCAUAGUAACUUUUCGGAUCGCAUAGCUUCACGCUGGCGAUAGUUCAUUCAAAUUUCUGCCCUAUCAGCUUUCGACGGUAGUGUAGUGGACUACCGUGGCGUUAACGGGUGACGGAGAAUUAGGGUUCGAUUCCGGAGAGGGAGCCUGAGAAACGGCUACCACAUCCAAGGAAGGCAGCAGG
rnacentral:rRNA from 1 species